rnacentral:rRNA from 1 species
GGAUGAGGUGGACGGAAGUCUGAUGCAGCAACGCCGCGUGGAGGAUGACACAUUUCGGUGCGUAAACUCCUUUUAUAUGAGAAGAUAAUGACGGUAUCAUAUGAAUAAGCACCGGCUAACUCCGUGCCAGCAGCCGCGGUAAUACGGAGGGUGCAAGCGUUACUCGGAAUCACUGGGCGUAAAGAGCGUGUAGGCGGGUUGAUAAGUUUGAAGUGAAAUCCUAUAGCUUAACUAUAGAACUGCUUUGAAA